UGAAAAGUUAGAUGUGAAAGCCCGGGGCUCAACUCCGGAUCCGCAUCUAAAACUCUCGCUCUAGAGGAUGGAUGGAGAAAAGGGAAUCCACGUGUAGCGGUGAAAUGCGUAGAUAUGUGGAAGAACACCAGUGGCGAAGGCGCUUUUCUAAUUUAUUCCUGACACUGAGGUGCGAAAGCAAGGGGAGCAAACAGGAUUAGAUACCCUGGUAGUCCUUGCCGUAAACGAUGUACACUUAAUGUAACUGGUCUCAACCCCAGUUGUGUCGAAGCUAACGCGAUAAGUGUACCGCCUGAGGAGUACGCUCGCAAGGGUGAAACUCAAAAGAAUUGACGGGGGCCCGCACAAGCAGUGGAGCAUGUGGUUUAAUUCGAUGCAACGCGAAGAACCUUACCCAGACUUGACAUAUCCUUGACAGUGGCAGAAAUGUCAUCUUCCGAAAGGACAGGGAUACAGGUGCUGCAUGGCUGUCGUCAGCUCGUGCCGUGAGGUGUUGGGUUAAGUCCCGCAACGAGCGCAACCCUUAUCACUAGUUGCCAACACGUAAUGGUGGGAACUCUAGUGAGACUGCCUGGGUUAACCAGGAGGAAGGUGAGGAUGACGUCAAGUCAGCAUGGCCCUCAUGUCUGGGGCGACACACGUGCUACAAUGGCCGGUACAGAAGGCAGCAAAACCGCAAGGUGGAGCAAAUCCCUAAAGCCGGUCUCAGUUCAGAUUGUAGUCUGCAACUCGACCACAUGAAGUCGGAAUUGCUAGUAAUGGCGCGUCAGCCACAGCGC
rnacentral:rRNA from 1 species